CUCUUCUGAAGUUCUUUCUUCUGAUUCAUUUUCUGUCAUUGAGUAUCCCUAAGAAGAGAAACUAGACAAAAAUAAAUCAUUUCACCUCAGAAUUUAUCCACAUGAAAAAUAAACGAAUCACUUGCCAGCAGAUGUUAGAAAACUACUUUAAUUGUUAGUACCAGAGUGAAACAGCGCAACCUAAAAAGCAUAUUUGCAAUUAAAUGCUUUAGUCUACCUAAGAACAGCUCAAAUGAGUGUUCAGUAUCUCCUUUUGGUUGAAGUUGGCAAAAAGAAAGCAAAGGCUGGUCAGCACGUUUUCCAACAUAAUCUAAGACUAAGCAGAUGGAUCACAAAGAACUUCAGCAGUCAACACUACAUGCUUCAACGUGGACUAAAGCAAAUUCAAGGUUACGCAUAGCCUGCAACAGUUAUCCCACAAGGAUACAGAAAAGCUGAAAUGCUUUUGGAGAUCCAAGGAGAGGUUUGAGAACUACAACUAUAAAAAGUAUCCACACAUCGCUAACACCUUCAAACAGCAUCUCAACUACAGGAAGGACAACCCCCAGACUUAAGCCCUCAGAGCUGGACCCGAAGCAAAGAGCUCUCAAGUUUCAUGAAGCCUGGAACCUCAAUGCUUCCAGCAGCGUACACAGACACCCUGCAGUACUAGGCUAUUAAUCAAUGCCUAAAGGCAAAACAAAAAGCUGUGUUUAGA
rnacentral:lncRNA from 1 species